rnacentral:pre_miRNA from 1 species
UGGGGUGCCCACUCCGCAAGUUAUCACUGAGCGACUUCCGGUCUGUGAGCCCCGUC